GAUGAACGCUAGCGGCAGGCCUAACACAUGCAAGUCGAGGGGUAGAGUUAGCUUGCUAACUUGAGACCGGCGCACUGGUGCGUAACGCGUAUGCAAUCUACCUUAUACAGAGGGAUAGCCCAGAGAAAUUUGGAUUAAUACCUCAUAGUAUUAUCGAGUGGCAUCAUUUGAUAAUUAAAGUUCCAACGGUAUAAGAUGAGCAUGCGUCCCAUUAGUUAGUUGGUAAGGUAACGGCUUACCAAGACUAUGAUGGGUAGGGGUCCUGAGAGGGAGAUCCCCCACACUGGUACUGAGACACGGACCAGACUCCUACGGGAGGCAGCAGUGAGGAAUAUUGGACAAUGGGCGCAAGCCUGAUCCAGCCAUGCCGCGUGCAGGAAGACGGUCCUAUGGAUUGUAAACUGCUUUUAUACAGGAAGAAACAUCUCUACGUGUAGAGACUUGACGGUACUGUAAGAAUAAGGAUCGGCUAACUCCGUG
rnacentral:rRNA from 1 species